UACAGGGGGGGCAAGCGUUGUUCGGAAUUACUGGGCGUAAAGGGUUCGUAGGUGGCCAACUAAGUCAGACGUGAAAUCCCUCAGCUUAACUGGGGAACUGCGUCUGAUACUGGAUGGCUUGAGUGCAGGAGAGGAACGCGGAAUUCCAGGUGUAGCGGUGAAAUGCGUAGAUAUCUGGAGGAACACCGGUGGCGAAGGCGGCGUUCUGGACUGCAACUGACACUGAGGAACGAAAGCCAGGGGGAAGGCAAACACGGG
rnacentral:rRNA from 1 species